rnacentral:rRNA from 1 species
GACGAACGCUGGCGGCGUGCUUAACACAUGCAAGUCGAACGGAAAGGCCCUGCUUUUGUGGGGUGCUCGAGUGGCGAACGGGUGAGUAACACGUGAGUAACCUGCCCUUGACUUUGGGAUAACUUCAGGAAACUGGGGCUAAUACCGGAUAGGAGCUCCUGCUGCAUGGUGGGGGUUGGAAAGUUUCGGCGGUUGGGGAUGGACUCGCGGCUUAUCAGCUUGUUGGUGGGGUAGUGGCUUACCAAGGCUUUGACGGGUAGCCGGCCUGAGAGGGUGACCGGCCACAUUGGGACUGAGAUACGGCCCAGACUCCUACGGGAGGCAGCAGUGGUGAAUAUUGCACAAUGGGCGGAAGCCUGAUGCAGCAACGCCGCGUGCGGGAUGACGGCCUUCGGGUUGUAAACCGCUUUCGCCUGUGACGAAGCGUGAGUGACGGUAAUGGGUAAAGAAGCACCGGCUAACUACGUGCCAGCAGCCGCGGUGAUACGUAGGGUGCGAGCGUUGUCCGGAUUUAUUGGGCGUAAAGGGCUCGUAGGUGGUUGAUCGCGUCGGAAGUGUAAUCUUGGGGCUUAACCCUGAGCGUGCUUUCGAUACGGGUUGACUUGAGGAAGGUAGGGGAGAAUGGAAUUCCUGGUGGAGCGGUGGAAUGCGCAGAUAUCAGGAGGAACACCAGUGGCGAAGGCGGUUCUCUGGGCCUUUCCUGACGCUGAGGAGCGAAAGCGUGGGGAGCGAACAGGCUUAGAUACCCUGGUAGUCCACGCUGUAAACGGUGGGUACUAGGUGUGGGGUCCAUUCCACGGGUUCCGUGCCGUAGCUAACGCUUUAAGUACCCCGCCUGGGGAGUACGGCCGCAAGGCUAAAACUCAAAGGAAUUGACGGGGCCCCGCACAAGCGGCGGAGCAUGCGGAUUAAUUCGAUGCAACGCGUAGAACCUUACCUGGGUUUGACAUGGAUCGGGAGUGCUCAGAGAUGGGUGUGCCUCUUUUGGGGUCGGUUCACAGGUGGUGCAUGCCUGUCGUCAGCUCGUGUCGUGAGAUGUUGGGUUAAGUCCCGCAACGAGCGCAACCCUUGUUCACUGUUGCCAGCACGUUAUGGUGGGGACUCAGUGGAGACCGCCGGGGUCAACUCGGAGGAAGGUGGGGAUGACGUCAAGUCAUCAUGCCCCUUAUGUCCAGGGCUUCACGCAUGCUACAAUGGCUGGUACAGAGAGUGGCGAGCCUGUGAGGGUGAGCGAAUCUCGGAAAGCCGGUCUCAGUUCGGAUUGGGGUCUGCAACUCGACCUCAUGAAGUCGGAGUCGCUAGUAAUCGCAGAUCAGCAACGCUGCGGUGAAUACGUUCCCGGG